GGAUUUUUGAUAUUUAAUUGAUUUUUAUUGGUUUUGUCUUAGAUGUUUUUACUGCUGACCUUGGAAAUACAUCUUCCUGUUCGUUGCUUCCAGGCUUUGAAAAUCAAGAAUACUGCUGCUAUAAAGUUUGCUGUGCAGGAUUUUUUGUGGCCCUACAUUGUGAACUCAUUUGGGUUAUUCCAAAUUUGGGAAAUGGCUUGGGGUGCAGGAGUCACCUCUAUGACCCAGGAGAUGGGGUUGAUCAUUUCAGCCUGUGAAAGUCAUGUCCCUGUGAGGAGGUUUGUGUGAGGUCUCUGUAUUGGUGUGUGUCAGAGCCCUGUGACUUCUCAGGUACUGAUCUCCCUCCACGUAGCAGGCUUUCUGGUAGGUGCUGUCUUGGGAAAUUAAAAAAAAAAAUAAAAUCAAAUGUCCCUAUCCAUUUGCAGUAGAGACUCUAGGGAGUAGGAAGCCAGAAACACCAGUCAAAUGGGCACUGUGUCAGGUGGUCACUGUUGAUGGGGAGAGAGGUGGUGAAGGGUGCAGAGGCUGCUGUCUCCUCCCAUCUUGGUGCCUGUGGCUGCUGUCUCCGGGUGAGUGGGUCUGAGCCUGAGCCUGUUCCCACCUGUAUCUGCUUGGCGAAGUCCUUGAUUUUGCUCAGUGUCUGGGGCUGUGUGAGUUGGCCCUGAGGUCUUGAAUACCUUGGUAUUCUUCCUGGCUUCCCUGGGAGUACCCUCUCUGCUGUGUUGUCAGAAGUAGGGAGAGCAGGCUUCCUUGACUUGUUUUUGUUGUCAUAGAGACAGCCUUUCAUCCUUCCGUGUAGCUUCAGGGUGUGUAGAUCCCUGUGGCUUUUUAGGAUGUUUCAUUCUUUU
rnacentral:lncRNA from 1 species